GGAAAUCUUUUAUAGCAUUUUCCUCUAAAUCAACGUUAUGUGAAGAUUAGAAUUCUCAGAUAAUUUGCAGAAACUUUUUUUUUUAAGUCACUGACUUGUGGGACAUUGAGAUGACUCAGCAGGUAAAGGUGCUUGUGCCAAGCCUGAGUUCAGUUCCUCAUGGUAGAAGGAGAGACCUGGCUCUCACGAGUUCUCUGAUCCCCUGUGUGCAUCAUGUACACUCAUGCCCCAUGCUAAAUAGAUAAGUAUAGCAAACUUAUCAGCGUUUAACAUCACUCAGAGGCAGAGCAGAAGGACUGUGG
rnacentral:lncRNA from 1 species